ensembl:lincRNA
ACUUGUACAAAGCAAGGGUCCAAGUACCCAAUGUGACAUCCCUGAAGAUUGAGAACCUGACCCCACAGGACAGUGGGUGAUACAAGGCACACGGCAGGUUAACUGAUGGAACAGAAUUUUUCCAAAAUUUCCACCUCAAGGUCUAUGGGAAGCAUCUGACACGAAGAGCAGCCUUCACAGCUGGAAGUCCCCCGUGUCUUCCAGGGCUGGCUGGUGAAUCUGACUCUUGUCUUCCUGUCUGGAGCACAAGUCAGGGCAUAUUCUAGCCAUAUACGGAGCUGUUACCCUGAUCAUGACAAGUGCAUCUCCACAAAUGUCUCUGCUUUGGAGAGAUGGAGCUUUUCUGUGUCCUCUCAGAGAUGGUCCGAUGUCCUGCUCUGUGAUGCCAGUGCUGCCCCAGGCAAUGUCUCAGCUGGAGCUGCAGGAAAGGAAAGGUUACCGCAUCAGGAGGACCUCUUCAGUCUCAGACCUUUUCCCAUUCCAGAAAGGACCAAAUUUGUUAUUAAUAAUGAUCCAGGGAAGGAGGAAUCCAACCAUUCUGUUCUUAUGGAAAGAUCUGAAGACUUGCUUAGUUAGGGAAAUCACAUGAGGCUUCUCAUUGGAUACUGUCACUUGCUCAACAUUGAGCUUGAGAGCCUGUGUCCCCCCACUGAUCCUAGUCAAGGCUUUGUCCAUUACACCAGGCUGGUGCAAUGUCACCCUGGACUGCAGGGCCACAGGGGCCACAGAGGACCUGAAUGUGACCUGGGAGAGCAAGGGCCUUCCCAGGGAGCUGGAGCUGAGAGGGACACCAGGACCAGGCCCCAACCCCUGGGCCCAGGCUGUGAGCCUGCCCCUGAGCGAGGCCAACGCCAGCCUCAACUGUGUGGUCAGCAACCCCAUGGACCAGAACAAUGCCACCUCAGGACUUGGUGACAUUUGUUCAUGAGGUGAGUGCUGAGCUGGGUGUGGUGGCACAUGCCUGUCACCCCAGCACUUGGGAGGCUGAGGCAGGACGAUCGUUUUGAGUUUGAGACCAACCUGCACUACAAAGUGAGCUCUAGGCCGACCUGAACUUCAUAGUGAGGAGCUGUCUCAAAAAGACAAAAAAAAACCAACAGAACACCAGGUGAGUGCCAGCUCUUGGCCAUUAGGCUGUCAGGAAGCUCAGGGAGCAGUGAGUCUGAGUCGCCCAGACUUUCCUCCCUGCCAUGUUCUUUAGGACCAUCCACCUGCACAUGGUCACACCGUGCAGAAGUCUGGGGUCACAUCCCACUGACAUCUGCCUGUAAAUGUCCCUCACAUCCCUGUCCCUCCCUGCUGGUCCCGGCAGCAGCCAUCCAAUGUCUCUCCCGCUCUGGGUACAGAGUGGGCUUUGCAAAAGCAGAUCAGACUGUGGCAUAUGUCAGGGUCAUCUCUGCAUCUGACCUUCAGUUACUCCUGUAGGACUCAGGGCUCACACGUUCUCUGCCCACGUAGUCCAUUCAUGAGUACCCUUCACACAGAACUGCUGCUGUAGCCCCUCAAUCUGCACUGCCACUGAGAGUCUUGAAGGUGUCAGCUCUUCUAGGCAGCUGUGCAGGACAACCCACACUUAGUAACUGUGCACUCUUGUGUUUGAAUCCUGCAUAGAAUAGAAAUCCUGGAGAUCAGGGUCACGUGUUUGCACCUUUUCAAUUCUCCCCACAACAGCUCUGGACAAUGUCUGUGCAUUAAAGGGGUUUCAUUAAAUGCACAACGGACCUGGGACCUGUGUGUGGCCUCCUCUUCUCUGACGUUUCUUCCAGAAGCUGCUGGAGAAUCUACUAUGUCACAGUCAACUGUAACCCCUAGGCACAUUGCCCACACACCUCUUAUUCUGAAUACUCAAAUAAAUUUCUCUACCAAAUAUGGCCCAGGAUACACUCUGGACUCCCCUCUUGCCCUCCUUUGACCCUAGAUAGUUAGCUUUUCCCUCCCUGCUAGAAUAAUCUAGAAAACACCCACUUUCUUGCCAGACUCACUUACCCAGGACCGUCUAGAGAGGCCCUUCCCCUGCCUUGUACAAGGUGAAACCUCAGUCGCAGCGAGAUGUCUCUGGCUGGUAGUUGAUAUUUUCUUUCUUCCUUCCCUGAGGAGAAGCUCCCACAGCUGACCUCAUUGGAGGCAUCUUCAGGGGAAUCACAGCGGUGCUGUUCUUCCUGGGAGCUGGACUGUGCCUGAGGAGAACUCGAGACAAAAAGAAGAUGAUGGAAACAGAAGUGGCAGGUUGCACUUCUCCUUAUGGGCAAUGACCUCCUCUCUCCCAGUGCACCCUGGGCUUUUCCCUCCUGCACUUUGCUACCAGGAAGUGGGUCCUGCAGAG